ACCCGGCCAGUAGUCAUAUGCUUGUCUUAAAGAUUAAGCCAUGCAUGUCUAAGUUUAAGUGUUCUUACAACGAAACCGCGAAUGGCUCAUUAAAUCAGUUAUAGUUUACUUGGUCGAUGCUUACUACUUGGAUAACUGUAGUAAUUCUAGAGCUAAUACAUGCAAAAGACCCCAACUCUUCGGGGAAGGGGUGGCAUUAUCCACUUCAACGCUACUCGGGGUUCACGCCCUGUAUUACUUGAAUGGAGAUAAUUGUCCGAAUCGCGAGAACCGUAAGGCGGCGAUAGACCAACCAAGUUUCUGCCCUAUCAACUUGAUGGUAGUGUAUUGGACUACCAUGGUUAUAACGGGUAACGGGGAAUUAGGGUUCGAUUCCGGAGAGGGAGCCUGAGAGAUGGCUACCACUUCCAAGGAAGGCAGCAGGCGCGCAAAUUACCCAAUCUCAGUACGAGGAGGUAGUGACGAUAAAUAACGAUAUGGAUCCUUCGGGGUCCAUAAUCGGAAUGAGCACAGUGUAAAUAUCUUAACGAGGAACAAUUGGAGGACAAGUCUGGUGCCAGCACCCGCGGUAAUUCCAGCUCCAAGAGCGUAUAUUAAAGUUGUUGCAGUUAAAAAGCUCGUAGUCUGAAUUUGAGGAUUCUGGUAGUUUAGGGGCCACAUAUUAGCAUGGGACAAUGAAAGAAGACCGCGUCAGAGUCUGGUAGUAACUCGGGCGCGGUAAUGAUCGAUAGGGGCGAUGGGGGCGGUUGGUAUUCAGCGGCUAGAGGUGAAAUUCUUAGAUUCGCUGCAGACUCCCGGAAGCAAAAGCGUUCCGCUACUGUACCCCCGUUGAUCAAGAACGAAAGUUAGGGGAUCGAAGACGAUCAGAUACCGUCGUAGUCUUAACUAUAAACGAUGCGGACCAGAGGUUAAGCCUCAUCCUUUGUACGAUAUUCCUAGCAUCUUUGCGAGAAAUCUUUGAGUUUUUGCGUUCUGGGGGGAGUAUGGUCGCAAGGCUGAAACUUAAAGGAAUUGACGGAAGAUCACCACCAGGAGUGGAAUCUGCGGCUUAAUUUGACCCAACACGGGGAAACUCACUCGGUCAGGACAUAGUAAGGAUUGACAGAUUGAUAGCUCUUUCUUAAUUUCUAUGGGUGGUGGUGCAUGGUCGUUCUUAGUUGGUGGAGUGAUUUGUCUGGUUAAUUCCGAUAACGAACGAGACCUCAGCUUGUUAACUAGUCUGCCUUGAAGUUUUGUGUGGUUACUUCUUAAAAGGACUAUCUGUGUUUAACGGAAGGAAGAGAGGCAAUAACAGGUCUGUGAUGCCCUUAGAUGUUCGAGGCUGCACGCGCGUUACACUGAUGGAAGGAGCGAGCUUUUUUUCCUGGUCUGACUGGACUGGGGAAUCUUUUGAACUUUCAUCGUGACAGGGAUUGAUCAUUGCAAUUAUUGGUCAUGAACGAGGAAUUCCUAGUAAGCGCAAGUCACCAACUUGCGCUGAUUACGUCCCUG
rnacentral:rRNA from 1 species